ACAGGUGAUUAGUGGGCGAACGGGUGAGUAACACGUGAGUAACCUGCCCCUGACUCUGGGAUAAGCCCGGGAAACUAGGGUCUAAUACUGGAUAUGCACCGUGAACCGCAUGGUUCUUGGUGGAAAGAUUUUUUGGUCAGGGAUGGACUCGCGGCCUAUCAGCUUGUUGGUGAGGUAAUGGCUCACCAAGGCGACGACGGGUAGCCGGCCUGAGAGGGUGACCGGCCACACUGGGACUGAGACACGGCCCAGACUCCUACGGGAGGCAGCAGUGGGGAAUAUUGCACAAUGGGCGAAAGCCUGAUGCAGCGACGCCGCGUGAGGGAUGACGGCCUUCGGGUUGUAAACCUCUUUCAGUAGGGAAGAAGCGAAAGUGACGGUACCUGCAGAAGAAGCGCCGGCUAACUACGUGCC
rnacentral:rRNA from 1 species